rnacentral:rRNA from 1 species
AAAAAGCUCGUAGUUGGAUUUCUGGUGGGAGCGGUCGGUGCGGUCCUCAGGAUUGCUACUCGUACCGUCUCUCGUCAUCCUUGGGUCGAUCCUGUCUGGCAUUAAGUUGUCGGGCAGGGGAUGCCCAUCGUUUACUGUGAAAAAAUUAGAGUGUUCAAAGCAGGCUUAUGCCGUUGAAUAUAUUAGCAUGGAAUAAUAAGAUAGGACUUCGGUACUAUUUUGUUGGUUUGCGCACCGAUGUAAUGAUCAAUAGGGACAGUUGGGGGUAUUCGUAUUCAGUUGUCAGAGGUGAAAUUCUUAGAUUUACGGAAGACGAACUACUGCGAAAGCAUUUACCAAGGAUGUUUUCAUUAAUCAAGAACGAAAGUAUGGGGAUCGAAGAUGAUUAGAUACCAUCGUAGUCUAUACCAUAAACUAUGCCGACUCAGGAUGGGCGGGUGUUGUAUGACCUCGUCUGCACUGUAUGAGAAAUCAAAGUCUUUGGGUUCCGGGGGGAGUAUGGUCGCAAGGCUGAAACUUAAAG